ensembl:snRNA U1 U1 spliceosomal RNA
AUACUUACCUGGCAGGGGAGAGACCAUGAUCAUGAAGGUGGUUUUCCCAGGGUAAGAUUUGUCCAUUAUACUCUGGGUGUGCUGACUCCUGCAGUUUCUGCAAAAGCAGGAAACUAGACUGCAUGAUUUGUGGUAGUGGGGAACUGCAUUUGUACUCUCCCCUA